GGAUAGAGACGGGGGCGAUGGGGGCGGUCGCCCCCCCUAGCAAACUCCGUCCGACAGGCAGACAAACUGUCUGUGAAGUCCUGCUCCCUCCUCCCUCCUCCCUUCCUCACUCAGCUGGCUGUCAGCUAUUGUCAGUGGCGCCGAGCCGAGCUCCCAGACGCAGCAUCUCACAGCAGGUGCCCUUCCUCCCCACUCACCCCUUUGGCCUGGACGGCAGUAAAUCAACAUAUUUUGUUGAUUGAGACUGCUUUCUUGUGGCAUCUAAACAGUGCUGAUAAGACGAGGUCAGGAAGUGGCUGUGUGCUGGGGGCGUGGCUACAGUUACAUGACAGGCCUGUGGGCUAAUAGAAACAGUAUAGUGUUGGGAGGGUAGAACCUGUUCUGUGUACACUGUACACAGGAAGAGGAAGCAUAAUGGAACUGUGCGUUCCAUUUCUUUUUGUCCUGUGUUCCACUUUACUUUGCUGCACAGAGUGAGAGCACACUGCAUUCCUGCACCCAGAGACCAGCCAGAGGGACUAUCCUGCCAGUCUGCCACAGGGACCAUCCUGCCAGUCAGUCACAGGGACCAUCCUGCCAGUCAGUCACAGGGACCAUCCUGCCAGUCAGUCACAGGGACCAGCCUGUUGCAGAGGGGCCAUACAACCGCAUCUGCAAGGGGGCCGGCGGCGAGGCUCCGGUGACCAUCCAGGCUGUACCUGUGAUCGUCCCUCUGGAGCUAAUGUCCAGUAGCCAAAGAAGCCAAUCCAUCCUGCACGCAGUGAUGUUGUUGUGUACAUUAUGGUUGUUAUGGUGAUGGUGAUGUCACGAGCAUGCGCCGCACAGCUGAAGUGCGGACAUGCUGUUGUGGGUGAUUCUGACGUGAGCUGCGCCCCGCUUCCGGUCCGGCGGCGGCCGUGGAAACGCGUCAGACACUGCCUGCUGUUCACUGGGUGAGGUAGCAAUUUAAGCUCCAGAGAUGGCAGUCGCAAUGGAAAGAGCAACAGAGUCAGGAAGUCAUCAGGGUGGAGCUGAGUCAGCGACCGUGGCUGCGCAGGCUGCACUGUGGGGCACUACAAGUCUCAGUGAGCCCUGGAUACCAAGGCAUUCUUGAUCAUGACAUUCUAGUCCGCCAUUACCACCUUCCCUGGCAGGGAAUUCGACAUCCUAAUUGCCCUAACAGUGAAGAACCCUUUCCUCCGUUGCGUUCGGAACUUUCUCUCCUCCAGUCGCAGCGAGUGCCCACGUGUCCUAAACUGUGUUCUUUUAAUAAAUAAUUCCUCUGAUAA